ensembl:lncRNA
GUAGAUUGUUUUUGUCAAUAAUAUUAUGUUACAAACAGACAGACACCUGGAAGCUUUGUUCACGUCCUACCAUUUUAAGCUCCGGACAUUCCGCCUUUUCUACGCUGACGUAAUAUGACUGACACAGGCCUCACCGAAUAAGCGCUUCCAGGGAGCAUGAUUGGCAGCGGCAUUGACCAAUGAGCGUUCGAGCUGCGGCAGCUAUGGCGUCUGCUGAUUUGCAACCCGCCGAAAUAGGAUCGGUGAAGAAGGAGACCUUCGAUCGGUUCGCCAUGGACUGUUCUAGGAUCAGUAAGGUUUAAAUACGACUCUAACCAUAGAGCGAUACAGAGUUGUGUUAAAAAGCUGGUCAUCGUUGGUCAUCAACAAGCUGGUGCUUGUGAGAGGGAAAAAGAUGGAUCCGUCUGCAGGUAUGCACAUGUCUGCUGUUCCCCAGAACAAUGAAGUGGUCCACGUCUCUGUCGGUAACCCCAUUAUAACCAUGUAUCAGCCUCAACCACAACCUCCAAACAUUGCACAAAUCAUCACACAGCACGUGAUACCUCAAGAAGUCUCCUGUCAGGCUAUACCGCACACGAUCCCAUCGCACAUCCAAAUGCCAACCCACAUCCAGACUCAGUCACACAUCCAGCCCGCUCCACAUCUGCAGACUCCACCGCAAGGCCACAUGGAAGCACAGGCUCAUAUUCCGACCCAAGACCACGUAUCAAUACAAGGUCCAUCAGAAGGCCAGAGUGCCGAGCCGUCUCAAGAUGGUGCAGUGAACUCACUGCAAGUCCCUUUUGCAGAGGUAGCCUCCCUGCUGGACCCUAACAUGAAGAGCUCAAAGGCUCGCAAAUACCAGAUCCAUUACGACGAGGUGAAGAGGAGAUUGGAACCACCUGAAAAGAUGUCUCUCCGAUCUCUGGCUGCCUAUACAAGAGUGAGUCGAGGUCCGGCUAGUAAGAAAACACUGUUGGAGUCUCUAAAUGUCUUUGGUCUGUCACCAAGCACCAAUACAGCAGUGUCCAGUUCCUUUUCCAAACUAACCGAAGGUGACACGGCUGCCCUUUGCAAAGACAUGAAGGAUUUUGCACUGCAAUAUGUCGAUUAUGAGAAUAUGGCGAAACAGCUGCUACCUGAAACAAACCAAGUGCAGCACUGGUCAAAAAUCAUCGAAACAAGGAAUUAUCUAGAGGAGAUGAGGAAGAUUUUUAAUGACCCUCUGAAUACACGUUUGUUCGCCAAUGUUACGCAUGGCCUUGGUAACGGCAUGAUGGACGUGGCUCUCGAUAUCAUAGAUAACGUCAUCGACCGACAAAUCCGAAUCCUCUCAGGGAACACCGACCCCAAACCUGAACCUCCGGUGAGAAGGAUAAGGAAACGCAACCGCAAGCCCAAAGCCGCCACGGAAGACGGCAAACCUAAAGAAAAGGGCAAAAGGGGACGGAAGAAAGGGAAACAGAUGCGGCUGGAUUCUGUUGUUCCUGAGGUUCAACAGUCCUCGGAGAUGGAGAGCAGCAUGUUAACGCUAGUCUCUGUAGGAUACGAAACCAUUUCCAGUGGACUUAACCCCAACAAUGCAGGUCUUGCGUAACAUCACGUACCUGAAAGGUGCAGAGAGACACUGUGAAUUCUGAGUGCAAAAAGUUUUUCAUAGAAAAUUUUAGUUUUAUAAAUGUUAGACUUCUCUCCUUCUCUCAAGACUGGCUAUAUUUUGUUUAGUUUUUUCUCACAAUCUGGUCAGUCAAGAAAAUAUAAUGUAGGUCUGAGAGGAUGUUGGCAGAGAUGUUUUGAUUUAAACCAAUCAUGUAUUGCCCUCAACCUUUUGUUUUGCCGUUUGUGGCAAAGAACAAGUGUACACAGACCAUCUAUGCUAUUAACGUAGCAUGCAAGCAAUUUUUUUUUCAAGCACUAUGUUGUAUUCACAAUAUCAGUUAGUCUCAUUUUAGAAUUUUAUCUCUGAAGGGUUCUUUGAUUCUGUUGAACUUAAUCUUACAAACUCCAAGCAAUUUAGUUUGAGAAUGAACAUAUCUUCUCUUGGACAUUGUUUGAUUUUUUUGGACUAUUUAUUUCCUUUUUCUGUUUGUGUCUGAUAUUUAGUGUAUGUGAACGACUGUAGCCUGUACUCGGUAAGUUUUGCAGAUUGCCCAUUAUGUGCUUGUAUUAAAAGCUUCACCUUUUUUAAGCAAUUUGUAUAUUUAUUACAUUUAUAUUGCUUGCAGAGCGCCCAAAGAAUCCAUUUUAUUACGAGACUGAAAUUUAUGGAAUGGAUUUAUCGUAAUUACAAUUGCAUAUAAUUAGGGUUAGGGAUUUAAGCAAACCCUUAACCCUGCGUAUUCAUUUUAUGAGUUUUGCAUAUCUCACAUUAUUUGUGCUAUGAGCCAUAGAUAUCUGAAACUAUGUGGGUUUUUUUUUUAAUGUGGGUAUCUUGUGAUUUUCAUUAAAUUACAAAAUAUGGAAUGAGGGACACAAUCAUCAUAAAGAGACUUUUUAUACGAUCCAGUAAGUAACAUGUCACAAUAUGUUUAUAACCAUUCAGAACAGCUUUGCAGCCAAAUAACAUCAUAUAAGCAUUGUGGUGGCAACAUUUAGUUGCUGUUAUAAUGAAUCUAAUUCCUUUCAAAUAUCAAUAAUAGCUAAUUGGUUUGUUUUCAAUUAUGCUCACUUCAAAUGCUUUGUAAUCUUUUGUAUUUUCACAAAAGAUUUCCCCACAAAGCAGCUUUUCUGAAUCCCUGGCGAGCAUGCAGAGAAAAUCCUCACCAUGGAGUCAGAUUUGUAGCUGAGCCAAUGAUAUUGUUUGUCUGUUUGUUGUUUGAUGUGGGCGUUCUGCAGUUCACAGUGUCACCUACAGGUGUCCUGUCCACUGUGAGGCUUUCAUCAGACUGAGGAUUUGGAGUGCAUUAGUGUAGGUCUGAAUCAGCGCAGGCCGUGGAGAGAUAGGGAUUGAGAGGAAGAAAAUAAAUGUGUGAUGAGUGAGAGAGGGAGGAGACA